rnacentral:rRNA from 1 species
ACGCUGGCGGCAGGCCUAACACAUGCGGGUCGAGCGGUAGAGAGAAGCUUGCUUCUCUUGAGAGCGGCGGACGGGUGAGUAAUGCCUAGGAAUCUGCCUGGUAGUGGGGGAUAACGUUCGGAAACGGACGCUAAUACCGCAUACGUCCUACGGGAGAAAGCAGGGGACCUUCGGGCCUUGCGCUAUCAGAUGAGCCUAGGUCGGAUUAGCUAGUUGGUGGGGUAAUGGCUCACCAAGGCGACGAUCCGUAACUGGUCUGAGAGGAUGAUCAGUCACACUGGAACUGAGACACGGUCCAGACUCCUACGGGAGGCAGCAGUGGGGAAUAUUGGACAAUGGGCGAAAGCCUGAUCCAGCCAUGCCGCGUGUGUGAAGAAGGUCUUCGGAUUGUAAAGCACUUUAAGUUGGGAGGAAGGGUUGUAGAUUAAUACUCUGCAAUUUUGACGUUACCGACAGAAUAAGCACCGGCUAACUCUGUGCCAGCAGCCGCGGUAAUACAGAGGGUGCAAGCGUUAAUCGGAAUUACUGGGCGUAAAGCGCGCGUAGGUGGUUAGUUAAGUUGGAUGUGAAAUCCCCGGGCUCAACCUGGGAACUGCAUUCAAAACUGACUGACUAGAGUAUGGUAGAGGGUGGUGGAAUUUCCUGUGUAGCGGUGAAAUGCGUAGAUAUAGGAAGGAACACCAGUGGCGAAGGCGACCACCUGGACUGAUACUGGCGCUGAGGUGCGAAAGCGUGGGGAGCAAAC